UUUCUUAGAUGACUGAGACCUAAGUGUUAGACUUUUAAUCUAACCACGGCAUUUCUAAUGCCUCUAAG
rnacentral:tRNA from 1 species